UAGCUUCGGUGAAAUCGCCGGAGUGAGAGGUCGAGAUCGAGAGUGAAAUCGCAAGUUAGAGAGGAGGCGGUGUGAGAUCGAGAGAGUUAGAGAUUGAUUAGGGUUGCCAAUGAUUAGUAAAAAAAUCUAAUUAAAUGGGCCAAAAAUAAUUGGUUUUAGGCGGGUUUACUGAAUUUUGGGUUUAUAGGCGGGAUUAGUUAAAUUUUUGGGUUUAGGAGGGAUUCUAAUUAUCAAAUUUUUGGGUUUAGUAAAUUCAGGCUUUAUAGGCGGGUUACUUAUGGUUUAGGUGGGAUUAGUUAGCUAAAUACAAUUUUUUUAUAAAAAAACACACCAUGAAAUUAAUGUUUCAAUAAUAUAUAUCAUUACAUAUUGCCUCAAAUAACUUAAACGACGAUAAAUUACAUCGGAAUUCGUCAUUUGGUUCUCCAUCUGCCACCUCGAAAUCGAGAUUUAUUGGUUCUUUUCAAGCAUGUACCAAAUGCUCAAAUUGUAGGUCUUCAACUGUAGUCAUCAGAACAGCAUCAUCGUUUUCUUGUUGUAACGUAAUCGAGGCUACGUCUUCAUAUUCUCCAGCAACAAUUAAUCUCCUCGGAUUCAUUUUAAGAACAUUGAGCUACAACUGCUUUGGUUUCUUUACAUACGGAUAAGGGAUAUAACAAACUUGUUAUGCUUGUGAAGCUGUGUAAUAUCAAAUAUCAAUAUAGAUACACAUAUUAUAUGUACCUGAUGUCAAAUAUAUAUAUAUAUAUAUAUAUAUAUUGAUUAGGGUUGCCAAUGAUUAGUAAAAAAAUCUAAUUAAAUGGGCCAAAAAUAAUUGGUUUUAGGCGGGUUUACUGAAUUUUGGGUUUAUAGGCGGGAUUAGUUAAAUUUUUGGGUUUAGGAGGGAUUCUAAUUAUCAAAUUUUUGGGUUUAGUAAAUUCAGGCUUUAUAGGCGGGUUACUUAUGGUUUAGGUGGGAUUAGUUAGCUAAAUACAAUUUUUUUAUAAAAAAACACACCAUGAAAUUAAUGUUUCAAUAAUAUAUAUCAUUACAUAUUGCCUCAAAUAACUUAAACGACGAUAAAUUACAUCGGAAUUCGUCAUUUGGUUCUCCAUCUGCCACCUCGAAAUCGAGAUUUAUUGGUUCUUUUCAAGCAUGUACCAAAUGCUCAAAUUGUAGGUCUUCAACUGUAGUCAUCAGAACAGCAUCAUCGUUUUCUUGUUGUAACGUAAUCGAGGCUACGUCUUCAUAUUCUCC
rnacentral:lncRNA from 1 species